rnacentral:tRNA from 1 species
GCCAAUGUAGCUCAGCUGGUUAGAGCACGGCACUCAUAACGCCGAGGUCGGUGGUUCAAGCCCACUCAUUGGCACCA